CUCUCUCUCUCUCUCUCUCUAUAUAUAUAUAUAUAUAUAUAUAUAUAGUACUAAAUCUCUCUCUCUAUAUAUAUAUAUAUAGAGAGAGAGAGAGAGCUGA
rnacentral:miRNA from 1 species